CUGGGUCCUGAGGUAGAGGAUGGUGGAUAUGUAGGCAUUGGCUGGAAACAGAUGAAGAGAGCAGAAUUACUACAUCAUGUAAACUGGUUAAUAAGUCACGUACUGGAAAAGGUCUGUUUGUGUUGUAUAGCCCACUCCCAUGACCAGGCUAGAUCUGUGUUGUAUAGUCCACUCCCAUGACCAGGCUAGGUCUGUUUGUGUUGUAUAGCCCACUCCCAUGACCAGGCUAGAUCUGUGUUGUAUAGCCCACUCCCAUGACCAGGCUAGGUCUGUUUGUGUUGUAUAGCCCACUCCCAUGACCAGGCUAGAUCUGUGUUGUAUAGCCCACUCCCAUGACCAGGCUAGAUCUGUUUGUGUAGCCCACUCCCAUGACCAGGCUAGAUCUGUGUUGUGUAGACCACUCCCAUGACCAGGCUAGAUCUGUUUGUGUUGUAUAGCCCACUCCCAUGACCAGGCUAGAUCUGUGUUGUAUAGCCCACUCCCAUGACCAGGCUAGAUCUGUGUUGUAUAGUCCACUCCCAUGACCAGGCUAGAUCUGUGUUGUAUAGUCCACUCCCAUGACCAGGCUAGAUCUGUGUUGUAUAGCCCACUCCCAUGACCAGGCUAGAUCUGUGUUGUAUAGCCCACUCCCAUGACCAGGCUAGAUCUGUUUGUGUUGUAUAGUCCACUCCCAUGACCAGGCUAGAUCUGUGUUGUAUAGCCCACUCCCAUGACCAGGCUAGAUCUGUGUUGUAUAGCCCACUCCCAUGACCA